AUAUUAUAAUCCUUGUACUUAAGGCACCUCGUUAAUUUAGUUUAGUGGUAUUUAUUAAAUGAUAAAGAAUUAGCUUAUUUUUUAAAGUAUUUCAAUAUAAAAAUACAUAUAAAUACAGAGCGUUUUGGCGAGACACUUGAAGGAACGGGAUAAGCUGAAGACUACAGGCUGAAGCCGUCCUCUAAGAAAGCGAGACAACAAUACGAAGUAUUGUAAAUAAAACAGCCA
rnacentral:ncRNA from 1 species